GCUGUAUGGCGACAACGCUCCUCUCUUCGAAGGCAGUGAUGCAGAACAACGAAACAACAGGAACCAUGGAUGUAGAAUUAAUGGGCCGUGGGUUUUUGGUCUCAAACAAGGUUCAGACUGUCGAUACUUUUGUGUGGAACGGCAUGAUACCAGUUAUU